AACCAUGGGUAAAACUUAAGACCCACCAUACCCACGGUCCGCUUCGGCCUCUGCACCAUCCUUUCCCAACGCACGUCCACCCGGCACCUGUGCUCCAUCUCGAGCUCACCAACCAGCUUCUCUCUCAACCUUUGCCUCCUUCAAUCACUAGACCCACCAAACCAACGGUUCCCCAUCAGCACGUUCUCCCAUUACUUUUCCUCCGACGCGACCAACUCCCCCUUUCAACACCUUUGCUCCCAGCACCGCUGCAGUUCCUUUCUCCUUAACCCCAACUCUUCACCUCCUCCCGCUCCUCAUCCAUUCCUCCACCACUAGAACCACCACUCUCCAUCUUUAUCGACGCCCCAAACCUAUAGUAUGUACCCUCUGUCAAUCCUCACCCAACCUGCAUGACCAGUUCACAGAAUCGAUUCCCUCUCACGGAAGAACGUAUGGGUAUUCUUUCGCCAAGAGAGACUCAAUGCUGCAAGAAAUCAGAGUACCCAUUUUCAUCCCAAGAUCAUAGAAUCACGUGCCAUCAUUGUCGAUUCCAAAUAGAAAUUCCAUUUCCAGCGCCGCUCCUCUCAUCUCCACCGCUGCCCUCAGUCGCGCCAAACCAGGGAUGAUGACUGCCCAUUUCGACGCCGGAGCUCAUCGCAGCACCUGGUGUCACUAUCGCAGAGUAUUGAGCCAAAUAGCCAUACCUACGAAGCAGUGGAGCACGAAGACAAGUGACCCCCCCCCCCCCCCCCCCCCCCGUUGUUGCAACUAAUGACAUUCAAAAAUUUGUGGGUCGGCCGCUUCCCUUCGAGUGAGUAUAGAUACGGAUGUAGGCUAUGUGGCAGACAUCAAGCGCUGAUACUCGUGAACUAAAGGAUAACGUAACGAAAUCAAAAGAUGAUAUCUGGCUGUUGCGCAGCAGCUUCGUUACGUAUGAGAAGCAAUGCAUCUGUGCUUUUUCUAUUUGAUGAUUGCAGUUAAUUUUGGUACUUUCCCUGUUUGAAUUUGAGUCAAUGAUCACGUGCGAGAAGGGCAUAUCUGCUGUUGUUUUUUUAUCAUCUUUAUGGUCGAAUUAGAGGAAGCAGCAAAUGAUGUUGAGCAAAAGUAAAGAAAAGCGCGUGAAAUCAUUUUAUUUAGUGUCUUCCCAAGUACAUGGAAUAUUACCUAGUGGUAGUGUCAUUAUCUAACCAUGCAUGCAACAUAAUAUGCUAAAUAGAUAUAGGUAACCCUACUGCACCACCUUUUCAUGGAUUCUUCUUCAGUGUAUCAAUAAACCUUCCAUCUAAUAUAUCAUUAUUUGAAAUAUAAUCAAGAAAAUCGCUGAAACUGAACUCUUUGUAGGAUGUCGGGUGUUGCUCAUCGACAAGCUCUGGUGCUGGCCCAACUUUCUUGUUUAAGGCUAGACUGUGAAGACUUGCUAUCGAAAAACGCUUCCUCUGAGGGCUAACAGUUGCUUGGUGAACAACACUCUUAUAUUGGCCGUUGCUCAUUACUUCUACCUGAUCUCCCAACUGAACCAGUAGUGCUCCUUCAGUCACUGGAACUGGGAUCCAAUUCUUAUUCUGGUCCAUGAUCUGUAGACCUGUGCAGCUCUGAAGUAAGAUCGUCAAUGACCCAUAGUCUGAGUGCGGUGGCAUGCCUAAUGUGAGCUGUGGUUCAGGACAUGCUGGAUAGCAGUUCAUGGUCAUCACUUGUGAUCCUUCUUCAAUUUCAUUUUGCCAUAGGUGAAUCCACUCUGAGAUGGGAUGAGAGUAAUGCUUGAUGAAGUCUCUCCAAAAAUGAACUUUAUCCCUCGAAUGAUUUAAACUGGUGCCAUACCUUACAGGGGCAUGGACAUUGCCUGACAUCAGAAGCAUCUUCUCUUCAAGAGGCAGGUCGAAGAAGCCCAUCACAGCAUCUAGAGCAUCUUUCAUCACAUGAAGAGGGAUUCCAUGGUUUAUCACCUGAAAACA